UACAGCAGAGCACUUGUUAUGAGAUGAAGACUCUACCAUAAAUUAGAAAAGCAAUCCUUAGUAAGAUACCACUGAAGCUUAAUGGAGCUCUAUAAUUUAUUUCCAAUUGUAGAUUGUCUGAUCUGAUCAAUGUUUUAAACUGGUGGUCUGUAUUAUGCAGUGUUAUGUUACUUGCCUUAGCUCAGCUCUUUCUACAAUGGUUCUUCCUCCCACCCUUUAAUUACAUGGAAGACAUUGGUCACUCCAUUUGGGAAUGGGGAUGUUUUUAAUUCAAUGUAUCUGAAGGGUACCAGAAUAGGAUGGACUCCUUUAAGUAAACUAAGACAAGAGGACUGCUUGGACUUUUCAAGGCAGCAUGGAAACCAAUCCUGGUAUCUCCACAUUUCUCAUUCAUAUGUUCCUUAACCCCUUAUGGAACUUUUGGACCUUUUCCCGAAAAUGAAAGCAGUCAUUUCCAGUGCUCCCUAUCUGAAAUUAAAUUUUCCUGCUGGCAAAUGGAAAAAAGGAAACAAGUCAGCCACAGUGCCAAAAGCAUUGAACUCACUUUUAGCCAUUGCAGAUGGCUCCCAACAAAGUAUGAGAUCAUCUUUUAGUUUUAGUUUAUUGUUAUUGCAUCCCACCCAGCACCCAUUCUCAGGAAUGAGGAAGGCACUGAUUUUUGACUGAUGCCUGGUAGACCUAAACAAGGUGCAGGAUCAUUUGAACAACAGCACUCUCAUCCUGGAACUUUUACUGUAGAAAUGGCAAUUAAAGCAGCAGUGCAUGAUUUGAGGCCCCAAGGAUGCUAGUGGCCCAAAAAGCUUUGGAAAUAACUCACACAUCAUCUUCAAAAGCUGCCCCAAAUUGCACUUUUUAAUAUGAAAAGCAAAUGGACUCGGCUAAGAAAGACAAAUAUUUGCAGUGCCUGCAGCACUCUAUCGUUAAUAUGAUGGGUGUUUACAAUGGCACUUUCCCAAUAAACUUUCAAAAUACAAGAGUAUAACCUAUGUUAUUACUAGAUACUGGUAUUUUUUUCAACCCAUGAAUAAUUUAACCACAAGUAUUUAGAACACAGUUACAGUACAAAGUCUUAGUCAAUUUUGCAUGCAUAAACUAUUAAUAGUUCUGCUCUAAAGGUGUUAGUCCUCUGCCCUGAUUUCUUCUCACCAGUUGUAGCUUUCCAGGUGGCAAUCACAACUUUGACAUUUAAGGUAAGUGUCAGCCUUUUCACAGUUGUUUUCAGUUUGUAUGGAUUAUUCAAGUCUCAUUUUAGAGCUGAUUAAUUACGAGAGAAAGGAUGGUGGUAUGUCACUUGAACCCGAGAAUACCCACACUACACUUGAGGCUUAAACCAAAAGGCUUAAGUAUUAGGGGGAUCAGUUGAGAUCAGGAAAGCUCAGUGAAUGGUUUUAAACAUUCAGUCUCAAUUUGUGUUGUGCUUAUGUAUAGUCCCGGUUUUGGAAUAAUAUAACCCUAUAUAUAGUUAUGGAAAAGUAUGUCUUGCUGGUUUCAAUGAAUUUGCUACUACACAGCCUACUUGAAAAACAAUGGAAAACUCUACUUUUUUUCCUCCCUUCAGGAUGAAUAAAAAUGCAGAAAUGCUACUACAAUUAGCAGAGUGCUCAUGUAAACAGUACAGAACAACUAUUUGUUCUUGUAGCCCCAAGCUUUGCAUAAUGAAUGCUGCUGAUUAAUAGGAAAAGAGAUGUGGGCAUUUCAUUGAGAUAGAGAACCCUCUAAGAGCAUUUUUCUUUUCAACUGCAUCUCAUGUGGAAGACAUGAGUUUAAUUUGAUGGAUAUUGUUUUACCUACAAAUCAAACUUUGUGCCUCCCUUUGUACCUCAAUGGCUCAGAGCCCCUAGAUUGGGGCUGUGCAACUUUAGUUGUGACUGUGGGUCACAACUCUGGCCUCUGAGUGACAUAACAGGAGCCACACAGCAAAAAGUAGGUGGUCUUUUAAGUGUGCAGAGCCUGGAUAAAAACUAUCUUUGAUUUAAUGAAAAUGUAAAUUAAAUACACAACAUUAUUCCUUCCCAUAUAUUGAAUAAUUUUCCAUUCUGGUGACAUUAAAAGAUACAGUUUUGUUGCAGAUUUUGUAAGGAUCUAGGGGCCAUAUCCAAGGCUUAAGGACUGGAUGCUGCACUGGACUCUCAUAUGUAAAUCCCUGGUCUACAUUAUGGUCUGUUUUCUCCCAUCACCUUACAUGCUUGCCCUGCCUUAUCUUCUUCUGUGUAGCUGUGUAAGGGAAGCUGGGAUCAUAUACUUAGCUUUUAAAUUGAUUAAAUAUUUCUAAUACAUCAUAAGAAAAUAGGAAUAGUCCUGCUACAUCAGGCCAAAGCCCAAUUUAUUCCAGUAUUCUGUUUCAUACAGAGGCCAACUAGAUGAUUCUCCCAGGCAGGAAAAAGAAACAUACCUUUCUCCUGCUGUUGUUCCUCUGCAAGUAUAUUUGGAGACAUGCAAUGUCCCCAGUUCAGAAGUAAUGAUGAGACUUGUGCUUAACUGCCUAUGAUAGAGGUGUCCUCUGUUAAAUUUCAUACCCAACCUAGAAAAUAAAUUACAGGUUUCCAGAACACUUAAUCUUUAGGCCAAUUUUUCAGCUUGACGAGAGAAGACUCCUGCAUACAACUGGGUAGAUUAGAAUCUGGAUUGUAUAAAGUCUCACACCCAACAGUUGAUUGUCACUGCAGUGCAAAGAUGUCAGAGAGAGGCAACUAGACAUGUUUAUAUGUAUGUAUUCUCUGGAGUUAAACUCUAGGCUUCUUCUUCCAAACUUCCAAAUUAAUGGAUACCUGGUUGUCAAUUGAUGGCUUUGGAUGGUUGAAAUAUGUGUAUAUAACAGCCAUCCCUUGCCUAGGAACCACUGGAUCCUGCCUUGCCAGCCUCAGCCCUCACAUCCUCCAUCUUCCCUUCCAAUCUUCUUUUAAAACCAUCCAAGUUAGUAUCCAUCUGUUAGGUUAAUGAUCUGCUGUUUGAAGAAGUAGAUUUCUUCCAUCUGUUCUAAACCUCCUUCUAAUAAGUUUCACUCGAUGAUUCCUGGUCCUAAUAUUUUGAAAGAGAAAGAAAAAUGCCCUACUUUCUUCAUGUCAUGUGUUAUUUUGCACAUGUUAAUCAUGUCCUCAUUCAGUCUCUAUUUCCAAGCUCAGGUGUCCCAAACUUUCUCAGCCUUUUGUUAUAAAAAAGAUGUUUGUGUCCUCUAAUUGUUUUGGCUGCUCUCCUGUGCAAUUUUUCCAGUUUGAUGUUGUUUUAUAAAUGUGGUGACCAGUAUGUCCAGAUGCAGACAUACCAUAGAUUUCAGUAAGAGGAAAACAAUGUGAGCAGUUUUAUUUUCAGUCCUUUCCUAAUGAUCUAAAGGAUGAAAUUUGCCUUUUUCAGUACGGACAUACAUUUAGUCAACAACUUCAUUAACUGAAAUAGUAUAUAUGUAAAGCUUGGGAGGGGGUUGUGUAAUGUGCAUCACUUUACAUUUACAUCAAUCAAACUCAGUUUGCCAUUUGAUUGACAAUGUUUAAAGAGAUCCUUCUGGAGCUUGUAUAGUUUAGUAUUAUCCAUGAUCCACAAACUUAACCAGCUCACUACUUACCCAUCAGUCAGGAUAACUUAUGAACAAGUUAAAAAGCACUAGUCCCAACAUAGAAUGUCUCAGUUGAAAGAGUCCAUUUCUUACUAACUUCCCUAGAGAAAAUUGCCCAUUUAUUCUAUUUACUUUAACCAGAUAGCAAUCCACAAAGGGAUAGGAACUCUAUUCAGGAGCCUUUGAUGAGAAACUUCAUCCAAGAAUACAGGAUCAAUCACCUCUAUCCAUGUAGCUAUCAGCAUUCUAAAAAUACACUGGAAAGCUUGAUGAGGUAACAUUCAUCUUUGCAAAAACUAUGCCAAUCAUUCUACAAGGCUUACUCCUCAAUAUCCUUAGUUAUUUUUCUUUUGAUUAGCGCUUCCACCAAGUUACCAAAACAUAUGUUAACUUGACUGGCUGAUAAUUUUCUGGAUCUCUCCCAUGCUCCUUUUUAAAAAUAGAUUUCAUUGGCUACUUCCAGUCCCCCAACACUGAGCCCAAUUUGAGGAACAAUUACAUGUUUUUGCUAUGAGGUCAGCAAUUUCUCCUCUUUAGGAACUCAGGUGGGUUCAGGUGAAACUGGAGUUAUGGUUUUAAAAACUUUCCAGAUAUUAUGGAGAAAUUUGGCAUUCAAGCUCAUUACCUCAAACCAGACAGGAUGAACUGUGGUUUGUGAUUGUGACUUGUUAACAAUUAUAGUUUCAACUAAUCAAGUUUUCUUUCAAGUUCAGAUGUAAUGUGGAAUCCCAAGCCAUUCAAAAGUGAAAGUGAUGUGCCCAGCCUCACAGCCAUACUAAGGAAGGAGAAAAUGCAAGUCCAAGGCUUACUGUUGCUCAGACAAGAAUGAAGCCAUACACGAUUACCCACUGCCAGUGAGAAGAUAGCCUUGGAGUUUAAACUUUUUAUUCUGCCUUUCUGAAUUAGCUGCUCUUUGGCACAGUGCUUGAUGGCCUUGAAGCCAAGUGGUUGUUACAUGUUUAUGUAAAAGCCAUCUUUGACUGGGAAAUGCUGGUUCCCACUUCAACCUUCAUAUACAGUGGAAACGAGGUUUGGAUCUGUACAAAAAUCACCACUCCAAAGCUGCUUGGACAUGAUAAGCAAGAUGAAAAGGAGAAAUUGGAGCCAUGGGUUUAAAAGUUUAGUUCUGGGGAAAGGAGGAAAUGCUGGUUUUGCUCUUUCAAAUUCAGGAAAAAUAUGGAAAUCUCCCCACUCAAGAACAGGUGCUGGUGGUUUAAAUACUUUAAUAACUCUUUCAGAAACCCUGGAAGUUAUGCAGAGGGAGUGGGAGGGUGGGAUCCCUGAAAGGAUCUGUGUUUGGGUGAGACACCCUGCAAUCUGUGCAUAUGCUGCUAUGUAAUCAGCAUCCUUCUAUCAAAUGGUACAUGCUUUACCUCUGAUACUUAACAUGCUGUACACUAUUCCUGGCUCAGAAACAGGCUGCUUUUCAUACAACAUCCCUCUUUGAAUCUACUGCAUUUAUACAAAAGAAAAGAGUUUUAUGUAUUCCCAAGAAGUUGGUUACAAAUGAAGCAUAAGGUUUCCAUCCACACCUCUCCCUCAUAUAGUCUGAAAGAUGAUUGUGUGCAAAGCAGUGCAGCUUGCCAUUCUGACCUUUGGUGAAAAUUUAGAGUUUACAAAACCUAAAGCAGCCUCAGUAAUAAUUCUGUGGCUCAUGCAUUGUGUGAGCACACUGAUUUGGCCUUUAAAAUUAUCUCCAAAUCAUUUCUGCUCUUCCACCCAUUUCUGUUCUUUUAUGCCUUUCCUCUGUAAGUCUCCACUAUUUAAAAAAAAGAAAGAAAUAUGGCAGUUCUUAUUUUUCUUUGCUUAGGACUUGCUUUUAGCAUUCUUUUGUGUCUCUCAACUUAAUACUGCCUAGCAACCUCAGAAAGUUCCUCAAUAACCUGAAAGGUGGAUUUUCCAGGAAAACCUUGCUCUGCAUUGUAUAAAAUAUAACUUGUCUUUAGAGAGAGAAAUCUAUAAAAAGAUGUGUAAUUUGGCUGGUAUGGUUCAGUAAGUGCUUAACAAAGCAGGAAUUGCAUCCAAAUGUUACCUGGAAGAAAAAAAAAAUCAUGCUGACAUUAAGGCUGAUUCACACAAAAAUAUUCUUCAAGACAGUUAAAUAACCAUCCUAUUAUCUAUUUAAAGAAUUUUGAGCAAAUCUUCCACAUUCUAAAUCCAGAUUAAGAUUUCCUUAUAUAUAGGAUUUUCUAGAAUGUGGUAACCUGUAAUCUGGAAUAGCUUCAGAACAUCUGUAAAAAGGCCAAAUAAUUUCAGUAACAAAUGUUGACCUCUGUACUUCUAAAACAGCCUUCCCUAACCUGAUGCCCAGCAGAUAUGCCACAACUUCCCCAAGCAGCAUCCAGAUGACAUCUGAUUCAGAAUAAUUUUCUAAACAGUGCAAGGACAGCAGUGAUAGUUCAACCCAUAAAACCAUUUAGCCCAGUAUUCCCAUUUAUACCAGUACCCUAUUUCCACAAGCUGAGAAGGCGAUAACCCUUCCAACGUUCGUCUCCCAGUAACUGAUGUUCAGAGGCACCUGUUACUGAAUAGAGUUCUAUUUAGUUACCAUAGCUAAUAAUGUUCACAUCACAGAGCAACACCUAUUUGACCCAAACUAAUCUCAAAAAAAGCUAAAUAUAGUAUCCUUAGCUGGGAGACUGCUGGGAGAUCCCAGGGCUCUUAGCUGACUGAGGAGGUUAAGAAAAAAUCCUAGAGGAGGGUACAGUAACGAUAAACCAGUUCUGUAUUGUUGCCAGGAAAACAGCAUGGAUGACCCUAAGUAGUCACCAGGAGUCAAUCCUGACUUAAGCAAGAUCUUACUUUAUCUGAUAGUGGUUGGUAAACCUACUCUACAGGCAACUGUUAAGUGACUUCUCAAGUUGCCUAAAUCAACAAGGGAUAACAUUCUGGAGCAAUACAUUUCCUAAGCAAUGUACUGUGUAAUAAAUUCCUUAUUUGUCUGAAUGAACUGAAUGUUGAGUGAUUUCACUAGUAACCUCAGAUUUUAAUAUUAAGUAGGUUUUUUUCAUUGCUCUAAAAUAAUGCAUAAUUUUUCUCAUAAGGAAGAUACUGUAACUCUCACAACUCAUUCUGUAUUCUCUAUUUUUAUUUAUUCAUUUGCUUCAAUAUUUACUCUACUUACUUAUAUUGGCAAUUUUUUUCUGCCCAUUUUCCAUGGAUUUUUAAAAAGUUUUUCAGUUUGUUUGAAAACUGAAGCAAUUUCACUGAAGAAUCAAGCAUCAUCCAAAAAUUGGAUGCCAUCAUCUUGCCUUGUCGAUUUUUUGCAAAGUGAACAUCUACCUGCAUUAAAACAAAUCUAAUUAAAAUCAGAAAAUUGGCAUCCAUUUUCAUCCAUAAUUUGUAUCUUUCAUGCAAAUAGUAUUACUUAAUAUUUGUAAAAAAAAUAUUGGUUACAAAUGAAAUCAAGAUGUAAAUCCGAAAGUCAAGGAAAUGUAAAUGAAAUCAGAUAUUAGCUGCUAGAACUUAAAUUUGCCACAAACUUAAACUGUAUUAUAGUUCAAGCCUUGAGUAAUUUACAAGAAAAGUUAUGCUAGCACAUUCUUUGUAUUUAUUUUAGUAAACCUCAUACCUAUAACUAAUACUGUCAUAACUUUACUAACAUAUUACAGCUUUUACUUUUCAUCUCCUUUGCAGAACUCAGUUAACAAGCUAUCCAUGGCCUUUCUAGAGAGAUAACGUCAAGCUAUAUCAAACACAUAUUAACUGCAACUUUACAUACUCCUAUGAAAUAUCACUUCCUCCUUGUAGGUAAGGUCUAAGAUGGAUUAUUUGGAAGUAUUUCCCACUUAUAUUAGCUUUGGGUAGACUCAGCUGCCACUCUGCACUAGUUGCCACUUUUUCUUGCUUGUGAUUCCUAAACCUAUGGAAUGAUCACAGAUUAUGUUUUUUGGAGAUUCCCAGGCCUGUUGAUCUAUCUCUGAAGACUGACUGGCAUUUUUCCUUUAUUGCUUUUUGUCCCAUCUGUAAAUGAGCUUUUUUUCAUGUUCCAUUUUGUGCAUGCCUGUUUUUGUCCCAUAUUUUAUCUGCUUCUACCAUUUUCUAUUUGCCUUUCUUCCAUUCAACCAGAAUUGUGCCAACACUAAUUGUCUGUAGGUCUUUAAUUUUUGACUAUCUGUAAUAAAGGAACAGAAGUAUUUAUCAGUAUAGCUUUAAUGAAACUUGUAAUCUGUAUUGCAUCUGUGUGCUUCAUUAGGUGUAGUGAAAACCAGCAAAUGUAAAUAGCAUACCUUAAGGCUGGCCUCUAGCCAAAAACUACAGCUAAGGGACAGUUAGUAGGAAACACUGCUUGAAUUACUUCCUAGUGUUACAGUUCAAACUGUUCUAGAAAAAUUUCCAAAUAUAUUUCACAAAUCACACUUGAGGAAGUGAGCAUUUGCUCAAAAAAGCUUUUUGUCAAAUAUAUAUUCUAAUCUUUAAGGUGACAUAGGGCUCUGAGGGUUUUUCUUUUUUUUUUUGUCAGUAAAAGGUCUAUUUGUUGUUAAGCUUUUCAUCAUCUUUGAGGUUUAUUAACAUUUAAUUCUCUAUGGAGGAAUUUUACAAAAAGAAAAGCAGGGAAGCCUGUUACUAACAGGGACUGGAGGCAGUUUUGAAUAAUUUUUCAUGUUUUCAAGGGCUAGGGGAGCUUUGGUUCUGCUGCAGCCAUGAAAUCUUUUCACCUCAUGCCAUCUGCAAAUCACAUUACCCCAUUUCAUUCUUGCAAACUACAGAGGAAGGCUUUCAUCAUGCCUAAUAAUCUUCAAUUUUUUAAAAAAAUCUCCCAAUUCUAUGGACACCUGUUACUUUGCAUAGUCCUCAUAAAUGUGUCCUUUAUUUAUCUAUUUAAUUAAUGGCAUUUAUAUACUGCCCCAAUUAAUUCAGAUUCUGGAUGGUGUGCAGACAAAAUAAAGCUUCCCAACCCACAUGAAAACAUCAAAUUCUAAACUCAAUGAUUGCACACAGUUCCUCAUUUUGUUGAAAAUAGUUUUGAGGAUUUCCGAAAUGUGAGAAGGGGAUAAAUCAAAUGUAUCUGUGGAGGUAGUAUAUUCCAUAGAGUGGAUCUAUUCAGGAAAAUGCCUGCCUUCUGGUCUACACCUUUCUUAUUAUCCAUUUAAAACAUUCUAAAAACUAAAAUGAAACAGGAAUAAGGCCUAAGUUAUCCACUACACAGAUUAUAAAGUCACUGACAGAAGUAAACUAAAGUGGCAUAUUUAUGGCCAUUUCCCUCCUGGUGCCUUACAGUAUUUUCUAGCAUCACCCAGCUAACACUGUGAAAAUAUAAGACUUUUUUAUUACUUAUAUCAGUACAAUGUUUGGAUUACUCUAAAAAAUGCUGUAAGUCACUAGUGGGAACCCUAACCUAUUCAUUCUUUAAAUGAGGAAGAAGUUCAUUUAAACAAGCUAGUUCUUGUUAAUUUAGAACGUGGACUAGCUAUGGGAGCUGAUCAGAACAAUCAUUAUACAACACUGGAAGAUGUUUAUACCUGAUCUGCAGCAAAGAGUCAUUAAUAUGUGCUGUUUGUCAGCAUUUUAAAUUUGAAUUAGGUGUUUUGUUUAAGAUUUUUUGGUAAAUUUGGUAAAUGUUUUGGAGUUGUUCUGUUUACUAUAUUUCUUCAAGCUCUUUUUCCUUUUUAUAUUAUUUCUGUGCUACAUAUUUAUACCAUUUGUGUAUGUGUGUGUGUAUUUAAUUAAUUUGGUAUCAAAACAAAGUAUAUAAAAAUUGAUCACAAACAGCCUCUAUGAACCACAAAGGAAAAAUAAUGUUGAACUGGUGAAAAUCAGUACAACUCUACAAUAAACAGAGUGAUUGAAGAACUGA